rnacentral:tRNA from 1 species
AGGUAGCUCAGUUGGUUAGAGCAACAGACUCAUAAUCCGGAAGUCCCUGGUUCAAUCCCAGGUUGACCUA